rnacentral:rRNA from 1 species
GACGAACGCUGGCGGCGUGCUUAACACAUGCAAGUCGAACGGAAAGGCCCUGCUUUUGUGGGGUGCUCGAGUGGCGAACGGGUGAGUAACACGUGAGUAACCUGCCCUUGACUUUGGGAUAACUUCAGGAAACUGGGGCUAAUACCGGAUAGGAGCUCCUGCUGCAUGGUGGGGGUUGGAAAGUUUCGGCGGUUGGGGAUGGACUCGCGGCUUAUCAGCUUGUUGGUGGGGUAGUGGCUUACCAAGGCUUUGACGGGUAGCCGGCCUGAGAGGGUGACCGGCCACAUUGGGACUGAGAUAGGGCGCAGACGCCUACGGGAGGCAGCAGUGGGGAAUAUUGCAAAAUGGGCGGAAGGCUGAUGCAGCAACGCCGCGUGCGGGAUGACGGCCUUCGGGUUGUAAACCGCUUUCGCCUGUGACGAAGCGUGAGUGACGGUAAUGGGUAAAGAAGCACCGGCUAACUACGUG